GACGAACGCUGGCGACGUGCUUAACACAUGCAAGUCGAACGGAAAGGCCCUGCUUUUGUGGGGUGCUCGAGUGGCGAACGGGUGAGUAACACGUGAGUAACCUGCCCUUGACUUUGGGAUAACUUCAGGAAACUGGGGCUAAUACCGGAUAGGAGCUCCUGCUGCAUGGUGGGGGUUGGAAAGUUUCGGCGGUUGGGGAUGGACUCGCGGCUUAUCAGCUUGUUGGUGGGGUAGUGGCUUACCAAGGCUUUGACGGGUAGCCGGCCUGAGAGGGUGACCGGCCACAUUGGGACUGAGAUACGGCCCAGACUCCUACGGGAGGCAGCAGUGGGGAAUAUUGCACAAUGGGCGGAAGCCUGAUGCAGCAACGCCGCGUGCGGGAUGAGGGCCUUCGGGUUGUAAACCGCUUUCGCCUGUGACGAAGCGUGAGUGACGGUAAUGGGUAAAGAAGCACCGGCUAACUACGUG
rnacentral:rRNA from 1 species